rnacentral:lncRNA from 1 species
AAAAACAUCAAUGGUAUCCCGUAAUAUUUCUACGGGGCACUUUCACAUCUGCUAUUUCCUUUAAUAUUGCAUAGUCGAUAGGGAUAAAUAUGCUCAUUUCUAGAUAGGAGGAAAAGGGGCAGACAUGUUAAGUAACUUGCUCAGUAUUACCCAGCUAGAAUUUCAGCCUUUCCAUUACUCAUCAACUCUUCUAAGUUCACUGUAGACAACUUUCGGCUCUCUAGGCCUCACCUCAGCUGUAUAGCUGAUUUUGAAGGAAUGUAAUUAUUUACAUAGCUUAUGAAAACAAAUGCAAUUUAAACAUAGUUGCAGUGUUGUACAUUUACUAAUCCAUUGACAGAAGAGAUCACAAUUACCUGCUAUAAAUACUUAAUGGAGUGGGUGGUUGCUUUAGCUUAAGUGAGGCAAGGCAGCCACCUAGAGCUAGAGCAGAGGUGACCCGAUUGACCCGAGUUCCCUCUAGAGGGCGCUGCUGUCACUGACAGUCUCGAAGAGCCUGCUGCAGGUGAAAGGUGAAAACGGAAGGCAGCCUGCUACAGUAUAUCAGGUUUACACCACCAUUCGGGAAGAACUCAGAUGAAACAGUCCGACUGUUCAGAAACACUGGACUCCUAGAUCUUCACUCAGAUUUGGAAUCAGCAAAGCCACGUCCAUUCUCCUGGGGAGAAAACAAGCGUUCUGCAGGCAAGCACUGGCUCAUCUGAACCUUCAAGAUCUCAAAGGGAGGACCUGAGAUGUAUGUAAGCAGAAGCCGCCGACCAACUUGGUGCCUGGGAUUGCCUCGCUCGUGGAUGUAGAACCUGGAACCGCGGGAGGGUGAGCGCUAAUGAGAGUCCUUUGGGGAUGCCGUGGGGUUGCCACGGGGCUGGGGUGCUGGCGAAAGAGGAGCUGUUUGCACGUUGUAGAGCCACCGGGGAAAGGACUGGAGGAGCGAGGCCGUGUUCCAGGGCACAGCACAGAGCGUUUGCGGAAGGAUUGACAGGCGGAGUAGACCUAACCAGUGUGCUCCGAGCACAUCUGGGCAUAGUUAAUUUGGGAAAUACUUCAUCUUUCAGAUGCUUUCCCUUAGAUUUACAUCAUCUGGAGCUCUGGAGCCGAGCUGCUGCCCUGGGCGGGUGCACGGAGGACAGAACCCUCAGUUACAGCUGGGUAACCCCGGACCUGAAUGGAGGGGGCCUGAACAACCAGAGGUGGACGUUUUCUGCGAAUGAUGGAAAUCUUGCUUUCCUAUUGGGAAUCCAGGUGGAUUGCUACCUUGAAGUUACUGCACUGAACAGUGGCUUAAACAAAGCAGGGGUUUUGUUCUCUAGUAACAAGGAGGUUGGGGUAGGUGAUUGCUGUGUUGGUUCAGCAGCUCACAGAUGUCAGGGUCAGGGUGGCCUCUCGGGUGCCCUUGCCUUUCCCUCAGGUGGCUGCAGUUCCCCUAAAGAAGCUGGAGAAGGCCAAAGGUCAUGCCAGUUCGAAUUGCUCCCUUUUAGAGAGUUUUCUCAGCCGCCCAACAACUGCCAGACUGUGUCACUGGCUACUGCUAUCCACAGAGUGGCCUGAGAAAUAUAGUCUUGGUAGCUGGGCAUAUAACUGCCUUCAACAAAAAUCUGAGUUCUCGUCAUGAGGUAGAUGAUGAUAGAUCUGGAGUGAACAACUAGCCUGUGUCCUGGCUACAAAGUACAGCUGUAAAGGCGCACAGCUUCGGGGCAGAUCAGCACUCUAGCACCUUCACAGGUGGCCGCCCGCCCAGCACCGCUGCUCUGCUCGCAGAGAGCGAGCGCAGAGUGAAGACGGGCUAGGCUUUCUUGCCAGCACUUGCCAAGACUGAGCUGGACUCUCAGCCAAUACACUUGCCCACAUCAGGAUUUUCCAGAGGAGGACCCUGGGAACGUGCACACUCCCUUGGUGGACAUACUCUCUUUAUGGAGGUUCGGAAUGGCAUGAAGAAUAUUCCUACCUUGCUGCUUCCUCAUCGGCUUCAUGUUUCUCUUCUCCAAUUUUCCUGACAGAUUUUUGGAGGAGUCUUGUUUGUGUAUGUGAUCUCCAUACAAGGAUCAUCCCUUUCAUGCCCAGAGGAGGGUCUAUGUAAAGAAAGCUGCUUUACCCCUUUUUGUGACUCCACUACCAAUCUAGGAAUCUCCUGGGUGAAAAACUGCUUCUCAAAACUGCUUCUAUAAGCAGCCCACACCCUGGCUAAGCAAAGGGAGAGGAAACACUUCCCACGUCCAGGGCUGUUCAAAAGAACUUUCUGUGAUGACAGAAAUGUUCUGUCUGCACUGUCCAAGAGGGCAGCCCCUAGCCCCAGUGAACACUUGAAAUGUGGCUAGUGUGACAUUUACAUAAAAAGUACAUUGUAAGUAAUGUAAAUGCAAGUGGCCACGUGUGGCUGGUGGCUGUGGUGUGGCACAGCGGGGCACACACGGCAUCUUGCACUUUAGAGCCAGCUGGGAGGGGUUUGAGCCAGCCCUGCGCCAGGCGUUCCGUGGUCUUCACUAUUCCGCCUUGCCGUUGAACUUGUCUUCUGGAGAAAAAGGAAAAAAUGGAACUAAAUUCAAGAUGUUCACUUGACAUCUCCUCAUUGCACGCAUAAUGGAGAGGGGUCUCCUGGGAAUCGGUCCUGUGAUUGAUUUUAGCGAUUAUUGAUAAUGGGAAAAUGGCGGAGCUGAUCCACGUAGCAAUUCCUAGGGAACAUUGUGUGUUCCUGGUCAGAUAAGUCAGCGGAGAUUAUUUUGUUCUAUUGUGCAAUUCAUUGUGUUACUUUAUUUUUGUUGUAUUAUGGCUGCUAAAUGAUGAUUUCGUGUAUGUUUUUCAAAAUACUUAGUGGUUUAUAUUUUUUUAAAGGCUGUGAAAUAAAAAAUAA